GAGACAACAAAUUUCUGCUGACAUCCAAGAGUACAACAAAUCUACAUCUGGAUUUUUCCCUGAUGUGAUAUCUUGGGAUAUAAAAUCAUACGAUAUGCCGCAGCAAAAAGAUGGCAAUUCAUGUGGCUUAUUUGUUCUUCAAUGCAUGGAACAUUGGGAUGGAGAUAAAUGGAAUAAAGAAAUAUCACAGGAGAUGAUAAACGGAUCAAGGAACCUCAUUAACGCACAGAUAGUUCUAGCAACUUCAAAUCUGUUAGAGACGGUG